rnacentral:tRNA from 1 species
AGAAAGUUAGUCUAAAACCAAGACAGUUGAUUUCGACUCAACCAAUCAUAGCCAACUCUAUGACUUUCUU